rnacentral:rRNA from 1 species
AUGCAAGACUACUUCACGGAGAAUCCAACAUAUCCACGGCACCUCUUUCGGAGAAGGUACCGAACGCGCCGAUCCCUCUUUGUGAAAAUUGUUCAAGCUUGCGAAGCAAAUUGUCAGUAUUUUACUCAAAGAAGAAAUGCUGCAGGCUUAAAGGGAUUUAGUGCAUAUCAAAAAAUCUCCGUAGCUAUGUGGGUGAUUGCAUAUGGCGUUCCGGCUGACUAUGCCGAUGAGUACCUUCGCAUUGGUGAAGAUACCACAACUGAGUCAGUGCGUAGAUUUGCCAACGUGAUCAUCCGUGUCUUUGGUCCUGAAUAUCUUCGGGCACCCAACGAGGAUGACACACAGAAAUUGAUGGCAUCUAAUGAGAGGAGAAGUUGGCCUGACAUGCUAGGUAGCAUUGAUUGUUUGCAUUGGACUUGG